rnacentral:siRNA from 1 species
UGUUGUGCUUAAUACAGGG